rnacentral:rRNA from 1 species
UACAGAGGAUGCAAGCGUUAUCCGGAAUGAUUGGGCGUAAAGCGUCUGUAGGUGGCUUUUUAAGUCCGCCGUCAAAUCCCAGGGCUCAACUCUGGACAGGCGGUGGAAACUACCAAGCUGGAGUACGGUAGGGGCAGAGGGAAUUCCUGGUGUAGCGGUGAAAUGCGCAGAUAUCAGGAGGAACACCGGUGGCGAAGGCGCUGCUCUGGGCCGAAACUGACGCUGAGGAGCGAAAGCGUGGGUAGCAAACAGG